ensembl:lncRNA
GCUCACAGCAGGCUUAUGGAAGGAAGGUUACUCCAUUUUAUGACUGACAAACCAGAGACACAGGCAGUUGAGUAAUUGUCCAGACAGGCUGCAGAUUCAAAUCACUUCAAUGUGGUUUGAGAGGUGAGAGGAAAGAGAGGAAAGGAGGGAGGAGCCCUGCUGGCUGGAUUCAGGCUUCGUGGCUGAGGCUGGGGAACUGGAAGAUAAAACUAAAAAUAGAAGCUGGAUCUUACAUGCCAUGCCAGACUGGCCUUGGACUUGGGACCCUCCUGUGCUGGCCUCUGCACUGCUGGGAUGACAGAGCAGCACCAUUCUGUCUGCCCAUCUUCCGCUCACUGAAGUUAUCUCAGCUUACAUCAGAGGUGACAGUCCCUCACUGCAGGAAGUCAUCGCAGAACUCCAGGCAGGAACUUGGAGGCAGGCUUGCUUACCACACAGCAUUACUUCUGAGUUAGGAAUUCACUUCAUGGCCAAAUCAGUACAGCAGAAGCCAAGGGCGUCGCUGGUUGGCUCAUGUUGGGCUAACUUGCUAUACAGCCGAGGACCACCAUCUAGGUGAAUGGUACCAUCUACAGUGAGCUGGGCCCUCCUACAUCAGUCAACAAUCAAGACAAUCCGCACAUCCAUCCCAUCGAGACACUCUGACUUGGGCCAUUCUUCAAUCAAGACUUUUCUCUCGGAGAAUGCUGGACUGUGUCAGUCAAGUUGACAGCAAAGCUAGCUAGCUCGCCUUCUGCAACCUUGCAGUAUGUUUCAAGUAUCCCGUUCUUACUUUCCCAUAACACCCAACACCAUCGUCUAUCUCCUACUAAAGGCUUCUCUUUCCAGUCACGAAUGCAUGGAAACUCAGAGUCAAGUAGCACUACAAUAUCACCUUGUCCAGUUUGUCUGCUGGAAUGGUCAGCCUACGUGUUGUAUAUUCUUCUCUGUGACAAGACUAUGCUCGGUCUCGAGCUUUUGAGUUUCUGCAGUGGAAGAUCCGUAAGAUUUAUUCAUUUAACCUCGUUCAGCAAGCCUUCUUCACUGCUGAAAGGUGCACCUUUAUGGAAAACUCUCUCACAGCUCUGCCUGGAGGCACUUGACUACUUUGGUUCAAGCAGGUGGUGUUUUCCCAGGCUAACUCCUUUGUUUAGAAAGAGAUGUGGGACUUCGCUGAGAGAACAGACAACCCAUUCUCCCCCGGCUACUCCUAGGUACAUUGAACUCAUC